GAUGAACGCUGGCGGCGUGCCUAAUACAUGCAAGUCGAGCGAACAGACGAGGAGCUUGCUCCUCUUACGUUAGCGGCGGACGGGUGAGUAACACGUGGAUAACCUACCUAUAAGACUGGGAUAACUUCGGGAAACUGGAGCUAAUACCGGAUAAUAUAUUGAACCGCAUUGUUCAAUAGUGAAAGACGGUUUUGCUGUCACUUAUAGAUUGAUCCGCGCCGCAUUAGCUAGUUGGUUAGGUAACGGCUUACGAAGGCGACGAUGCGUAGCCGACCUGAGAGGGUGAUCGGCGACGCUGGAACUGAGACACGGUCCAGACUCCUACGGGAGGCAGAAGUAGGGAAUGUGAAGAAAUGGGCGAGAGCCUGAGGGAGAAGCGCCGCGUGAGUGAGGAAGGUGUUCGGAUCGGAAAACUCAGUUAUUAGGGAAGAAGAAAAGGGUAAGUAACUAUGCACGUGUUAACGGUACCUAGUCAGAAAGCCACGGCUAACUACGUG
rnacentral:rRNA from 1 species